rnacentral:rRNA from 1 species
UGGGGAAUAUUGGACAAUGGGCGAAAGCCUGAUCCAGCCAUGCCGCGUGUGUGAAGAAGGUCUUCGGAUUGUAAAGCACUUUAAGUUGGGAGGAAGGGCAUUAACCUAAUACGUUAGUGUUUUGACGUUAACGACAGAAUAAGCACCGGCUAACUCUGUGCCAGCAGUCGCGGUAAUACAGAGGGUGCAAGCGUUAAUCGGAAUUACUGGGCGUAAAGCGCGCGUAGGUGGUUUGUUAAGUUGGAUGUGAAAUCCCCGGGCUCAACCUGGGAACUGCAUUCAAAACUGACUGACUAGAGUAUGGUAGAGGGUGGUGGAAUUUCCUGUGUAGCGGUGAAAUGCGUAGAUAUAGGAAGGAACACCAGUGGCGAAGGCGACCACCUGGACUAAUACUGACACUGAGGUGCGAAAGCGUGGGGAGCAAACA